UUUUAUGAGAGUUUGAUCCUGGCUCAGGACGAACGCUGGCGGCGUGCCUAAUACAUGCAAGUCGAACGCUUCUUUUUCCACCGGAGCUUGCUCCACCGGAAAAAGAGGAGUGGCGAACGGGUGAGUAACACGUGGGUAACCUGCCCAUCAGAAGGGGAUAACACUUGGAAACAGGUGCUAAUACCGUAUAACAAUCAAAACCGCAUGGUUUUGAUUUGAAAGGCGCUUUCAGGUGUCGCUGAUGGAUGGACCCGCGGUGCAUUAGCUAGUUGGUGAGGUAACGGCUCACCAAGGCCACGAUGCAUAGCCGACCUGAGAGGGUGAUCGGCCACAUUGGGACUGAGACACGGCCCAAACUCCUACGGGAGGCAGCAGUAGGGAAUCUUCGGCAAUGGACGAAAGUCUGACCGAGCAACGCCGCGUGAGUGAAGAAGGUUUUCGGAUCGUAAAACUCUGUUGUUAGAGAAGAAC
rnacentral:rRNA from 1 species